AAAUCAGAGGAAUAUCUCAAAUUUUAAAACUAAGGUUGUUUAAGCUAAUAUGAAGCACAUAAAGAGUGAAGAAAUAGAGAACGAAUUGAACCUUAGCGGGAAAUACGCGUUUCUGGCGAGCGUAAAGAAUGGAUCUGAAUCUUGGUGAAUGCUUUCUUCCCUCUGUUUUCUUGUGAAUCCUUCACGCAGUUCUUUACGCGAUUCACGGUCAUGGGUGCUCACCAAGGGGUUCAGUCCGACUACCUCAGAGUUUCGGCGAGAAACUCUGAAUAGUUUUUGUGACUUGGACUUUGAGGAAUUCAGGUAAGGCUUUUCGGCAGAGUCACAGUAGGGGUCCCCUCUUCCAAUGUUUGGGUGUCUCUUAUAUAGAGUGGAAAUGGGCGGUCCUUGAAUCAUGAGCUGGCAGGUGUGAAAGGAAUCAUUCCGUUAGAAUUGGAUUUCUCAGAGAUUUGGUGGGGACCAGGGCGAUUGUCACAUGUAAUUCUUCUUCUUUGUCUGUAGCGCCCUCUAAAGCAUGUGCUCUCUUAAGGUUGUUUUUACUGCUUGACGAAACUUUUACCUCUUGGUUUUGCCAUCCCUUGUGGUUAUUUGUUUGGUUCCUCUUAUUACAACUUGCAUUGACUAAGAAUUCUCUAUUAUUAAGGUGAACCAACUUGCAUUGCUAGGUUGUAUGACAGAUGCUUUCGUUCUGGUGUAAGCGAGAAGAUGAUUUGAAAGAGAGUUGCACACUUGGAAAUAGCUCCAAUGCAAGAUUGAUGCCGUUACUAUGUAUCGCUGAAUUGUGGUUAACGACAACGUUGCAUUCGGCGUGAAACUUAUUGCAUCCUUUCUACCGUGAUAUUCCCUUUUUUAUGCUGGUUUUGUUUGUUUGGAUGGUGAUGUUUGGUUUUGGCUUUGAUAUCGUAUUUUGUAGAACGGAUUGGUGGAUUACAAGCUUAUUGCUUUACUGUCUUGCAAAUGCAGAUUGACUUACUUCCUGCAGUAUGGCUCCAAUGGACGACAUUAUGUGAGUCUUUGUGUUUGUGAACCACGUUGUGGAUGUGCACCGAUGCUGGGCUUGUACCAAGAAACUAGGAGCUGUCUUAUGCCAUAGCUUGGAUUUUUAGGUUUAUGAUAUUGUCUUGUUUUGGGCUUUAACCGUGCGUCUGUGGUAACUUAUUUAUUGCAGACCUGUAGUGGUACGGUCCUGCAAUAGCAUGGCCCUAUGCCAUUUCCAUGAUGAGCCAGGUGCAAUGGUUUUUAACACUGCUUAUUUUUGACAUUGCUUUAAUCAUGCCAUGAACUAUGACUUGUGCUUCCCUUUGGUAUGUUUAUUGGAUUCCAAUUUUGUUAAUUCCUUUUGAGAGCAUUUUGCGUUGUCAUUCUUUUGAGAUAAAGAGAUUCCAAACGCAGUGUGCUUGUUGCUGUUUCUGGACUGUGUCACGUCUAUUCCUCAUGGUUCUCAUGAAUUGUUUAUGACCUUGCAGCUAGGCCCUUACCUUCGUAUAUCACGACGUUGUUGGCUUUGUUGCCAUCACAGGGUACUGAUACAUACUGAUAUGGAUUGAUUGGCUCCUUACGGUUUUUGUUAGCAAUGCCUAAUCUUUAACCUGCAUAGUCGAAACACGGUGGCAUAAUCCUCACGGCUCAGAAGAUCAACAUGCACUUGAUCCAUUACAAGUCACGCCCUUUGGCUUAUUGUACCCUUCUGCAUAGAAACAAUUCGUAUUAGAUUGUAUCUUCUUCGGUUAAAGUUCAGUUUGAAAUUCUCUUUCAUAUGCUCCAUUCAUGUUCUGGUCAAGUUCUUUAAUGGUGGUAUACAACAAUAACAUUUGAAAAGAUGAUUGAUUCUAGUUAUGUUGUAAUGCCAAUGACUUUGUUUUCUUCGCAGGUUACAUGUAGUCUCGGUUUGGCGGCAAGCUUCCAAGAGGAUUGGCAAUGUUGCUGGUAUCACAACCAUAAAGCUUAAGCCAUGUAUCUUGUGGUGUUGCACGAUAGUGGCACGGGUGAAUUCAAUCCAUGUUGUAGAAAGCAAUUUAGCCGAUGACUGUCGUGGGCCCUGCCCUUGAUUAAUAAUCCAACUCAAUUGCAGCUGAAUUUCCAACAGAUGUGCCCUCCACAGUGCUCACUUGACUAGCUGGAUUGGGCAUGGGGGAACCAAAUGGUGGUUCUGAUGACUUCCACUCAGAAGACGCGGACCUUGAUCGAUUUUAAGUGAAUCAGGUUAAGAUGCACUUUACAACUCAGAAUGCAUCUGCAGUUGGUGAUGGUUGGGAGCAACGGCAGCAGGCUGUGUUGGUGUAGCUAUAUGACCUGAAAUAUACGGGGAAACCGGUGGCUUGGGUGGUUGGCUUGGAUCUAAACCAGAUCCAAAACAUAAAGCUUGACCCUGCAUCAUUUGUGUGUUUUGAUUACCUUUCUCAACAGGUUGGCUUCCUGAAGCAGUUGCCUUUCCUUUGCCAAUCGGAUUGCAUAGGCCUCCUGUGUGAAUUUGUGGUGUGGUUUUGUGUAUAUUGUACUGAUGCUUAGGUCAUGUACUUGUUUAUUUAUUGUGUAUGUGAAUUGGUUUUUUUGGUUGUAAUGAGAAUGAACAAGAUUUAUGUAAUGAUUUUCAAUGGUUGAUGUAAUAAUGUAAAUUGGCUUUUGGAAUGAA